UCCGGGCCGGCCCUAUACAUGAAACACAUACCACAAGAAGAGAAGGAAGGAAGCAUUCAUGAUUCAAUGACCAUGCAAGAAAUAAGGUAAACCCUUGGAAGAUCUUCACUGAACAAGAUGUAGCAGUUUUAGCAACCCACAGUGAAGAAUGCAACAAGACGCAAACAUAUAUUACAAGAUAACCACUGAAGUUUCAAAUUUGUACAUAUGCAUGUUCAUCCCAAAAGUUUAGAGAGAGAAAGACAAAUAACAUGCUAAGCUUAAAAUUGAUAAGUAAUAAACUAAAC
rnacentral:lncRNA from 1 species